GCCCGGCUAGCUCAAUCGGUAGAGCGUGAGACUCUUAGUUCGCCAGCUCGUCAAACAGCAGCAAACAAGGCAAUCUCAAGGCUGCGGGUUCGACCCCCGCGUUGGGCU